CAGCUCUCAGGUUAUGCACUUAUGAAUGCUGCGUGAGCAGUUUCUCUGGACUGAUUAAGGAAACUGCCUGUUUUCCUCCAAGUAUGUCCUGUAGUAAUUAGAUAAUGAACAGAAAGAAAAUUUACCCUUCUUUUUACAUCAGGAUUCCCAGACAAAGGAAAAACAAUCUGCGAGUGACGGCUGUCAGCUAAGGGCUGCAGGAGAUGAACCUGCUUCUGCAUCUCCUCUGCCUUGUGGUGGAAGCAGUGCCCCCAUAGCAAUGACACUGGAACCUGCAGCUCCUGGCAGACCUGUGGAGCCGUAGCAAUUUCUUCCUGCUUAGGACCGGGCCCUCAGAAUAGCCCUGAUAAAGUAGGUGGAAGUAAUUAUCACAGGAUCCGAGGUCUGGCUGACCACAGAUUUGCACUAUUGCCAACAGCCAGGGUAACAGCAGACAGGACCACUGCAUGUGGUCACUUUAGAUUGGCUCAACCUGAGUAUAAAAUCUCAGCCUGCA
rnacentral:lncRNA from 1 species